rnacentral:rRNA from 1 species
AGUGAACGAGGGAGGGAGGAAGAACAAAGGCAAGUCGAACUGCAGCACAGUAAGAGCUUGCUCUUACGGGUGGCGAGUGGCGGACGGGUGAGGAAUACAUCGGAAUCUACUUUUUCGUGGGGGAUAACGUAGGGAAACUUACGCUAAUACCGCAUACGACCUACGGGUGAAAGCAGGGGAUCUUCGGACCUUGCGCGAUUGAAUGAGCCGAUGUCGGAUUAGCUAGUUGGCGGGGUAAAGGCCCACCAAGGCGACGAUCCGUAGCUGGUCUGAGAGGAUGCUCAGCCACACUGGAACUGAGACACGGUCCAGACUCCUACGGGAGGCAGCAGUGGGGAAUAUUGGACAAUGGGCGCAAGCCUGAUCCAGCCAUACCGCGUGGGUGAAGAAGGCCUUCGGGUUGUAACCACCUGUUGUUGGGAAAGAAAAGCAGCAGGUUAAUACCCCGCUGUUCUGACGGUACCCAAAGACUAAGCACCUGCUCCCUUCGUG